UGGGGAAUAUUGCACAAUGGAGGGAACUCUGAUGCAGCGACGCCGCGUGAACGAAGAAGGCUUUCGAGUCGUAAAGUUCUUUUAUAUGGGAAGAUAAUGACGGUACCAUAAGAAAAAGCCCCGGCUAACUACGUGCCAGCAGCCGCGGUAAUACGUAGGGGGCUAGCGUUGUCCGGAAUCACUGGGCGUAAAGGGUUCGCAGGCGGAAAUGCAAUUCAGGUGUAAAAGGCAGUAGCUUAACUACUGUAAGCAUUUGAAACUGCAUAUCUUGAGAAGAGUAGAGGUAAGUGGAAUUUUUAGUGUAGCGGUGAAAUGCGUAGAUAUUAGGAGGAAUACCUGUGGCGAAGGCGACUUACUGGACACAAAUCUGACGCUGAGGAACGAAAGCGUGGGUAGCAAACAGG
rnacentral:rRNA from 1 species